rnacentral:rRNA from 1 species
CCUACGGGUGGCAGCAGUAGGGAAUCUUCCACAAUGGGCGAAAGCCUGAUGGAGCAACGCCGCGUGGGUGAAGAAGGUCUUCGGAUCGUAAAACUCCGUUGUUAGAGAAGUAAGUGCGUGAGAGUAACUGUUCACGUUUCGACGGUAUCUAACCAGAAAGCCACGGCUAACUCCGUGCCAGCAGCCGCGGUAAUACGUAGGUGGCAAGCGUUAUCCGGAUUUAUUGGGCGUAAAGGGAGCGCAGGUGGUCUGUUAAGUCUGAUGUGAAAGCCUUCGGCUUAACCGGAGUAUUGCAUUGGAAACUGGGAGACUGGAGUACAGAAGAGGAGAGUGGAACUCCAUGUGUAGCGGUGAAAUGCGUAGAUAUAUGGAAGAACUCCGAUUGCGAAGGCAGCAUACCGGCGGCGAUCUGACACUGAGGCACGAAAGCGUGGGUAUCGAACAGGAUUAGAUACCCGAGUAGUC